UGCUGCGCAGUGCUCAGCUCCCAGCGCUCACCAAUCCUGCAGCAAACACUCUCAGAGCAGCCCCUGAGGGCCACUCUCUGCCAGGUGGAGGUACAGACGCAACUAAGACACCAAGGAGCUCCAGGCGCUCGCCUUUCCUGGCUCAGUGGCCCCUGACACAUGAGGUGGGCUCUGAGCCGCUCUGCCCCAGCUCUGCCGGGACACUUGGCUGUCCCCUGAGUGCCCACAAAUCUCCCACCUAAAGAAGGACUUCGUGGAGACUUCAGCAAGACCCCACUCCACCGGCAGAGGGAAAAGAGUGCAUUGCAUGUUCGGCGGCCCAAGGCGGAGACGAACUGAUGGAGAGAGCUGCAGCCUGCUGGUGAGACGGUGUGGGGGGCUCAGCUGAGCCAGAGAAGCGGACAUUGGAAAGAAGAGAUGAUGGAAGAACACACAACCUCUU